CAGAGGAGGAAACUGAGGCUCAGCGGGAAACUCCAAACUGACUCCGGCCUCUUCCCCUGCAUUUGCCCCACUACUAAUCCAACCAAGGUCUUAGCUCAGAUGUUGCCUCCUUCAGGAAGCCCUCCGGGACACCCAGGCUGGAUGAGCACACAGAACCCAGUGUCAUUGCAGAAGGGGCUGGUUUGCAUGGAGGGGUCAGGAAAGGCCUCCUGGUGGAAGUUACAUUGAAGCAGAGAUCGGAAAGGUAAGAAGAGGCCAGCUGGUGGAGGAGUGGGUGGAGCAUGUGCAAAGGCCCUGAGGUAGAAAAGGCUUGUGUUCAAGGAACAUGUCGUAUCCCCAUUACAUGGAUAGUGCCUGGCACACAGUAGGCAUGCCAUGUUUGAUGAACUAAUAAAGGAUA